UUAUUCUUCAUCCAUUUUAUGCUCUUCAGAGAGUUUUCAGGUGCUAGGGCUUGGUUCCACAGAUAACCCCACGUUCGAUUCAUUCUUCAGAGAACCCAUCAUGAUUUAAGAACACAAAUACAUGUUCUUAAGGUUUCAAAUUUGCCAAAAGCCCCAACAAUCGAAGUGAGAAAUUGUAGAGAGAACUUGCCAUUUGAAUCGAGAGCUUGUCGUCUGAAUUGUCGAGGGAAAUCAGUAGCAAAUUUCUUCGAUUACCAACGUUUUUCUGGUCAUCGUGCUCUUGCCUAAAGCAAGCAAUCGAAGACAAUACACCAGUCGCCGUCGAAACUCAAAAAAGUAACAAUCAGCCAUGGGAAAGGUUCAUGGAUCACUGGCUCAUGCUGGAAAGGUGAGAGGGAAAAUGCCGAAAGUGGCCAAGUAGGACAAGAAGAAGAAGCCCCGUGGUAGGGCUCACAACGCAUGCAAUACAAUGGACUAUUCGUCACCGCCGAUAAAUGGUUCUGGAUUUCAAACUCAUUAAUAGAUGCAGUGAAUGUAGAAAUUGCUAAUAUUGGGAAAGAAAAUAUCUGGGCAAAAGGGGGAAAAACAAGCAGGAUGAAAUGAUGGAUAAGUCUUCCCAGAUUUUUCAAAAUUCUGAUGGUACCAGUUAUGGAUUAAUGCACUGGUAUGGGACGGUAGAAUUCUAGGGACUAAGGUGUUCAUCAAUUCCAGGGUUAGAGCUUGGACAUGCAGAGCAGAUACAGACACUCAUUCCUCCGAUUAUUGAGAAAAAUGAUGUUGAGAUAGUGCAAAACCAAGUCAGUAUCAGGAAAGGAUAUCCCCGUGGGUUCUGACAUGGUUUCAUGAUUCCAAGCUGUCAACGUGCAUCCUCAUCUUAUAAAGUGGGUAUCAGCAUCCAUCACCACCAGACUCUCACCUUCAAUAGCUGCCACCACAUAAUUUUGAAGCUUUCUUAUGACUAGCUGAUAUCUAGUCCAUUUGUCUUUAAACUACAGAUUAUGUUGGGUUGUAUUUGGAUGUCUUUACAUUUAGUUUAAAAUGAUGCUCUGAUUUUUAAACAUGUUGGAAGAGGUUUAAAGUUUAUUUUUAUAUUCUACAUGUCAUGCUUUUGAUAUU